GAUGAACGCUGGCGGCGUGCCUAAUACAUGCAAGUCGAGCGGCAGCUUGUUUUGCACUGUCUUCUGGAGUUUUAUCUCGAGAUGAUUGUGCAAAAUGAAGGCGAGCGGCGGACGGCUGAGUAACGCGUGGGAACGUGCCCCAAAGUGAGGGAUAAGCACCGGAAACGGUGUCUAAUACCGCAUAUGAUCUUCGGAUUAAA
rnacentral:rRNA from 1 species